UUCCAGACUCCUACGGGAGGCAGCAGUGGGGAAUAUUGCACAAUGGGGGAAACCCUGAUGCAGCGACGCCGCGUGAGCGAAGAAGUACCUCGGUAUGUAAAGCUCUAUCAGCAGGGAAGAAAAUGACGGUACCUGACUAAGAAGCCCCGGCUAACUACGUGCCAGCAGCCGCGGUAAUACGUAGGGGGCAAGCGUUAUCCGGAUUUACUGGGUGUAAAGGGAGCGUAGACGGCAAUGCAAGCCAGAUGUGAAAGCCCGGGGCUCAACCCCGGGACUGCAUUUGGAACUGUGUAGCUGGAGUGUCGGAGAGGCAGGCGGAAUUCCUAGUGUAGCGGUGAAAUGCGUAGAUAUCAGGAGGAACACCGGUGGCGAAGGCGGCCUGCUGGACUGCGACUGACGUUGAGGCCCGAAAGCGUGGGGAGCAAACAGGAUUAGAUACCCUCGUA
rnacentral:rRNA from 1 species